GGAGUUAGCCGGUGCUUCUUCUGCGAGUAACGUCACAGAUGUAAGGUAUUAACUUACACCCUUUCCUCCUCGCUGAAAGUGCUUUACAACCCGAAGGCCUUCUUCACACACGCGGCAUGGCUGCAUCAGGGUUUCCCCCAUUGUGCAAUAUUCCCCACUGCUGCCUCCCGUAGGAGUCUGGGCCGUGUCUCAGUCCCAGUGUGGCUGAUCAUCCUCUCAGACCAGCUAGGGAUCGUCGCCUAGGUGAGCCUUUACCUCACCUACUAGCUAAUCCCACCUGGGCUUAUCCAUCAGCGCAAGGCCCGAAGGUCCCCUGCUUUCCCCCGUAGGGCGUAUGCGGUAUUAGCAGUCGUUUCCAACUGUUAUCCCCCACAAAUGGGCAAAUUCCCAGGCAUUACUCACCCGUCCGCCGCUCGUCAUCUUCAAAGCAAGCUUUUAGAAAUGUUACCGCUCGACUUGCAUGUGUUAGGCCUGCCGCCAGCGUUCAAUCUGAGCCAUGAUCAAACUCUGA
rnacentral:rRNA from 1 species